rnacentral:sRNA from 1 species
GUAGGUGAACCUGCGGAAGGAUCAUUACAGAAUUUAAGUGCUUAAUUGCAUUUUUACACAUGUGUUUUUCUUUUUGAAACUUACUUUGGUAGUGCUAUUAAUUUAGUCGCUGCCAGAGAUUAAACUUAAAACAAAUUUUUAUUUUGAAUUGUCAACUUAAUUAACAAAUAGUUAAAACUUUCAACAACGGAUCUCUUGGUUCUCGCAUCGAUGAAGAACGCAGCGAAAUGCGAUAAGUAAUAUGAAUUGCAGAUAUUCGUGAAUCAUCGAAUCUUUGAACGCACAUUGCGCCCUUUGGUAUUCCAAAGGGCAUGCCUGUUUGAGCGUCAUUUCUCCCUCAUACCUUCGGGUUUGGUGUUGAGCAAUACGCAGAGUUUGCUUGAAAGAAAGUAGGAGUAUAACUAAUGGAUAGGUAUAACCACUCAUUGGACAACUCCAAAAUUUUUCCAAAUUCGACCUCAAAUCAGG